AAAAGGGGAGGGGGGCCUGGGGACGUCAUGGGGACAUCAUGGGGACAGUUGGGGACAGUUGGGGACAGUUGGGGACAGUUGGGGACAGUUGGGGACGUGGGACGGCUCAGGGUUGUGGGAUUUUGGGACACUUUGGGGUUAUGGGAUGCUGGGACAGCUUGGGGACAUGGGGACAGUUUGGGGCACAGCAGCAGUUUGGGGUCACUGUGUCACCGUGUCACUGUGUCACAGUGUCAUUGUGUCACCGUGUCACUGUGUCCACAUGUUCCCAUGUCCCUGUGUCCCCAUGUCCCUGUGUCACUCUGUCCCUGUGUCACUGUGUCACUGUGUCAUUAUGUCAUCAUGUCACUGUGUCACUGUGUCACCAUGUCAAUGCAUCACUGUGUCACCGUGUCACUGUGUCCCCAUGUUCCCAUGUCACUGUGUCCCCAUGUCCCUGUGUCACAGUGUCAUUGUGUCACCGUGUCACCGUGUCACUGUGUCAUUGUGUCACUGUGUCCCCGUGUCCCUGUGUCCCCAUGUCACUGUGUCACUGUGUCAUUGUCUCCCUGUGUCCCCGUGUCACUGUGUCACUCUGUCCCUGUGUCACUGUGUCCCCAUGUCACUGUGUCCCCAUGUCACUGUGUCCCCAUGUCCCUGUGUCAUUGUGUCCCUGUGUCACCGUGUCACUGUGUCACGGUGUCAUUGUGUCACCGUGUCACUGUGUCCCCAUGUCUCCGUGUCCCUGUGUCCCUGUGUCACUCUGUCCCUGUGUUACUGUGUCACUGUGUCACUGUGUCAUUGUGUCCCUGUGUCCCCGUGUCACUGUGUCACAGUGUCAUUGUGUCACCGUGUCACUGUGUCAUGGUGUCAUUGUGUCAUUGUGCCACUGUGUCCACAUGUUCCCAUGUCCCUGUGUCACUGUGUCACUGUGUCACUGUGUCAUUGUGUCACCGUGUCACUGUGUCCCCAUGUCUCCGUGUCCCUGUGUCCCUGUGUCCCUGUGUCACUCUGUCCCUGUGUUACUGUGUCACUGUGUCACUGUGUCCCCAUGUCACUGUGUCAUUGUGUCCCUGUGUCACCGUGUCACUGUGUCACGGUGUCAUUGUGUCAUUGUGUCACUGUGUCCCCAUGUCUCCAUGUCCCUGUGUCCCUGUGUCACUCUGUCCCUGUGUUACUGUGUCACUGUGUCCCCGUGUCCCUGUGUCCCCAUGUCACUGUGUCCCUGUGUCAUUGUGUCACUAUGUCCCCAUGUCACCACGCUGCUGUGCCACUGUAUCACUGUGCCACGGUGUUGUGUCACUGCGUCACCUCUGUCCUGUUCUAUUGUGUCACUGUGUCACUGUGCCAUUAUGUCACUGUGUCACUGUGUCCCCGUGUCACUGUGUCACUGUGUCACCGUGUCACGGUGUCACUGUACCAUCAUGUCCCUGUGCCACUGUGUCACCGUGCCAUCAUGUCCCUGUGCCAUUGUCUCACAGUGCCAUCGUGUCCCUGUGCCAUUGUGUCACUGUCACUGUGUCCCUGUGCCAUGGUGUCACCGUGCCAUCAUUUAUUGGUGUCACCGUGUCACACAUCACCGUGUCCCUCUCCCCCCGUCCCCCCCCCCACAGAGCCGCCCCUGUGCCGCGCUGUGGGGCCGCUGUAGGGCUGGAGGAGCCUUGGGGCCGCUGCGCCCCAUGGACGGAGCUGAGCGCUGCUGCCCGGGGGGGGCUGAGCGGCCCGCAGUGCAGGUGGGGGGCGGCUGGGGGGGCUGGGGAGGGUGUGUGGGGC
rnacentral:lncRNA from 1 species